GUUUCGAAAAUAAAAAUUUCUUUACUUUAUUUGCCUUUUAUUUAACCUACAAAUGUGACAGAUCAUUUUGCCUGACCCUGUAGUAUGGUGAUUUCAUGUUCUACAUUUUUUUUUGUUCAUACAGUAUUGUUUCGGCGCUUUAUAAAUGAUAGGCUUCUAGCACAAGCACUUUAUAAACUGUACAUUGUAAGGUUUAUAGUAAGUACACACAGAAAAUGCACAAAAACUGUGAUUAAUUGAAAUGCCAUUUUUGACGGCACUCUCUUGCUGUAAUAUGGUUACUUUAUUCCUCGUUAUUGAUAUUGCUCAACAAUUUCAUCUUAAUUUUGCCUGUUUCGUAAGGAAGCAAUAAUUAUUCUUAUACAAUUAAGACAAUAAGUCGUGAGUGGGUGAUGGGCGAUGCAGCCGGUGAAGGGUUUGUGUCUCUCCUCUAUUACACACCGCAGCGACCUGGCAACAAGAUUUGGAUUAAGCUUAAUGACUUGGGGGUAAAUAAGCUCCAGGGGAAUGUUGACAGGGCUAACGUGGGCUUGUUUCACAUGGGUCUUUUUCCACACCUCUGAAGGCUGAAGAUAAUGUCUGUCUGGGGACACUUUGUCGCCUUUUCCAAAUGCACAGCACUUCUCUCUCUGAGGAUUUUUCUUCUCGUGCCUGCAGGGUUGCCCGUCCACAGUCAAGGAGAUUCUCUAGCCGACAACAAAGUGAUGGACAAUAUUACCGUUCGACAAGGAGAGACAUUAAUUCUCAGGUGUGCCCAGGGGGACAUUGUCACACAUACAGCAUGGCUAAAUCGGUCAAGUAUACUAUACGCCGGAGAUGAAAAAUGGUCGGUGGAUCCAAGGGUGAGUCUGGUGACACUUAAUCAAGAGGAGUUUACCAUCAAGAUUGAAAACGUGGAGAUGACAGAUGAGGGGCAGUAUGUUUGUGCGGUCCAGACCAGCAGUCGCCCAACAACCACCGUAAUACACGUCCUCGUCCAAGUGCCACCAAAAAUCCUCGAUCUGUCAAGAGAUAUUGUGGUCAAUGAAGGCUCCAAUGUCACGCUGACGUGCCAAGCCAUCGGAAAACCGGAGCCUUUCAUCAGUUGGAAACGCAUCUCAUCUUCUGGGGACCUGGCAACAGACGAUGAUUACCUGGAAAUCCCAUUUAUCUCCAGACAGAGAGCAGGGACGUACGAAUGUACAGCUGUCAACGAUAUUGACACGGAUACCCAGACUGUAGACAUCACUGUCAACUAUGCGCCAACUGUGUCUGAUGGAAGAGAUGUCGGUGUGACUCCGGGCCAGAGGGGAGUGUUGGAGUGUGAGGCGGACGCGGUGCCCGAGGCCGACUUUGAGUGGUAUAAAGACGACAGAAGAAUCUCCAAUGGUUUGGACGGUAUUGAAAUUGUGAGCACCGGAUCGCUCUCCAGACUGACGUUUUUUAAUGUGUCUGACGGAGACUAUGGUAACUACACUUGUGUUGCCAUCAACAAACUCGGGAGCUCUUAUACUAGCUUCCUUAUGUACGUGGUAAUUGAACCCACUAGCUCAACGCUAUUGCAAGGUUAGUAUUCCGCACAGACGUGUUGGAUAUAUUACUUAACAGCAUGCCACCUCAUGACACACUCAGCCAUUUUCACAAAAUUAGUUAAACAGUAUGAUGCGCCUGCAGAACCUUUGAUAUUUGUGAAAAUGGUCGAUUCCAUCUCUUCUUCUGAUUGUGUUUCAUCUUUCUCCUUUGCCAAAUGAACCAACUUGCUGUGUGGCAUGACUUCAUUUUGAUUUUUUGCAUCCUCUCACCAAUGACCAAGAGCAGUUCAAGACGGCAGCGGAUCAGCGAUGGGCGUACACUUACACACCUGUCUCUUCAUCGUGGCGUUUUUACCAUUUCUGAUUAAAUUUUGAGGAGGAAUGGAUUUCGACAACAUUUGUGUGAAUGUGCGUUUGAGUGUGUUAUUUUAUUUGUGUCAUUUGCAACCAUAAACUGAUGCACAACAGUCCAGGAAGUCACUUGCUAUGUGAAGAUUCUGACCCAGGAACAGUAUGGAAUGUUUCAUGUCACUUUAUUUUUCAGUUAUUUAUUUUAGGAAUGUGAAACAUUUUGUAUUUUAUCAUAACUUUUUUAGAAACGUUGGUGGAAAAAGCGCAUUUUUAAUCAAUUGUGACUGCAUUUUAUGUCCACAUGACAUACAGGAACGGUGAUAUUUACAGCAAGUUGAAUACCUCAAAGUCAACUAUAGACGGUGAUGUGGGAGGAGCUGUAAUAUGAUAUUUUCAUGUAAAAAUAAUUAUUAUUCAUUCUGGUUGAACACAGUAAUUUUAGACUUAGCAUUCUAGUGAUGUUAACUUGUUGUGUUGUGCUUGUUUUAACUGUAUUUUUAAAAACAAAUAUAUUCAGUUCAUGUUUGAAAACAAAGGGAAAUGUGAAGUUGUAAUUAUUUCGGCAAAAUAGCCAAGUUUUUGUCUUUGCUUUCUGUUUCGCUUUCUUUCUGUAUCCAAUUAUUUUUUUUAAAAUCCUUCUGGCUUUAGAAAUGCAAAUGUAUUAAAACUGUUGUUUGUUGGAUCACAACAUUUCUACAUGGCUCUUUAAAAAAAAAUAUAUCACCCCUAAAUUCCGUUACUUCUAGAAUCAGAAUUAAUACGAUAUAAACUAUAUAAACACUUAAUAAAUAAGUACAUCAUUUAAAAUGACUACGAUGAAGAUGUGUGUUAACCCAUUCAUAUAAAUGAUAUGCACCACCUGCAUUGUUUAGACCAGUAGUUCUCAAUUAUUUGUGCCCCCCACACCCCCCUACCCCCGGUUCCAGAAAAUUUUUUUCACGCCCCCUGAUGUUGAGGACAGGUACUAUACUGUAAAUGUGUACAUGUUGGCUGGUCUGCACAAACAUGGAAAGUACUCCCUGCCCUCCCUGACAGUUCACUGUGAACCCCCCAGGGGGGGUCCCCGCCCCCAGCAACACACUUUGCUGGAAUUGACUGAGAAAAUGUGAUGUGGUCACAUGAAACCAAAAUGGAGCUCUUUGGCAUCAAGUAGACGGCGUCAUGGCGACUGUGAGGCCAGCAACACCAUCCCUACUGUCUGCUAUGGGGGGGGGGGGUCUCUCACCCCAACUUGAAGAAAUGUCUGACCUCAGUGCUUGCCAAGAAGAUUUUUUCCAGAAGUUAGUUUUGCAUUAUGGUGAAACAUGUAUUUCUCUUCUUCAAAUUAAAGUUAAUUUAUAACCUUUAUUUCAGUCUCUGUUACAAUAAACCAGGGGUCGGCAACCUUUACUAUCAAAAGGGCCAUUUUACCCCCUCGCUCACUGAAGAAAAAUAGACUUGAGCCGCAAAACACAAUUUCAAAACAUCUUAUAAAUCUAUCCAGAUAAAAAUAUCUUAUAAACGUUCAAAAGUUUGAAUCUUUUUUUAAUUUUAUCGAGUUUUACAGCAGUGUUCAUGUGUGAUGGAUGCCAACUCAUAGGGUAAUGAUAGUCUCAUCUUUGUUAAACCUCAAUACCUGACGCCUGAAGAAAUGUGCAGCGAAUUGCGAGUCUCCAAAGAUUUUCAUUGACUUCCAAAUUUGGAGGGAAUUUUGGGGUAUCAAAGUAGUUCAGAUGAGAAAAAGCAGAGUGGAUCGAGUAUAGGGUCUUACAGAAAGUUCGAUUUUUUUCAAAACUCAUUACAAAAGAUGCGUAUUUUCCCCCAAAAAAAUAAUCGAGCAUUGCGAAGGGAGCAACAACAAAGAGGCUGAAGAACCACAUGCGGGUCUGGAGCUGUGGGUUGCUGACCCCUGCAAUAAACACACCAUAAAACUAACGGACUGUUCAUAUCCUUGAAAGAGGGUAGGCCUACAAUAUGAGCAGGGGAUCAAAUAUUUACAAGAAAUAGAAAACAAAUGGAAGAGACGUGAUUGUAUGAUAAAUACCGUAUUUUCUGGACUACAAGUCGCAUUUUUGCGGGUAAUUUAUUUUACAAACUACUUGACCAAAACAGACAUUACGUCCUCUUGGAAGGCAAGUUCUAACAAUAAAAGAAUAGAGAACAGGCUGAAUAGGUGUAAGAUACACAAAAAAAUAAACAUGAACAGAAAAGGUGUCCAGUGUUUAUGUAACAUAAACAAUUUUUUUCAUUUAUAAGUCGCUCUGGAGUAUAAGUCGCAGGAACAGCCAACCUAUGAAAAAAAGUGUGACUUAUAGUCCGGAAAAUACGGUAUUUGGACGGUAACAAUUCUUUUUUCAGUCGAUUACCGUAUUUUCUGGACUAUAAGUCGCUCCAGAGUAUAAGUCGCACAAGGCCAAAAAUGCAUACUUAGGUAGAAAAAAACAUACAUAAGUCGCUCUGGAGUAUAAGUCGCAGGAACAGCCAACCUAUGAAAAAAGUGCGACUUAUCGUCCAGAAAAUACAGUAUUUGGACGGUAACGAUUCGUUUUUCAGUCGAUUACCGUAUUUUCUUGACUAUAAGUCGCUCCGGAGUAUAAGUCGCAUAAGGCCAAAUAUGCAUAAUUAGGUAUAAAAAACAUACAUAAGUCGCUCUGGAGUAUAAGUCGCAGGAACAGCCAACCUAUGCAAAAAAAAUUCCGACUUAUAGUCCGGAAAAUACAGUAGUAUGCCAUUGUGUAUUAACCUGUUGGAUAGUCAACUAUUAUUUUGGGUUUUAGGAGGAGGUUUUAGCAGAAUGAAAUGCAUAUUGUUUGUUGUAUCAUUUUUUGCAGUGAGUAAAUAAGACUGAGAUCCAAAAAUUAAAGUCCGAAAUUGAUUCGGGUAAUCAUCUGUCGCAUCCGACAGGCCAGUCAUGGUUUGUUGUGAAGCAGAAGACAGGAACUGACAGGAAUAAUCUCUGACAUUUUUGAAAUGGCAAGAUAGGAGAUUAUCUGGCACUCGUCCGGGAGGCGUGGAUCCCAGCGCUGCAUCUACCUGGCGGGUCCUCACAGGGCAAAGUGAUCGCUCAUGUGGGGUGUCGGGCGUAACCCAUCAGGCACACAGAGAGAACAGGAAGUCAGGACAUAACCAGCUUCUACCACCGCUUAGGAAUACUUAGGUUCUCUGCUCGCUGGUCUCCAAUCAUCUCAUCCUCUAAACGGUCGAAGAUACAGAUGCUAGCCAAACAACAACAUGAACCAACCCGCACAGCUGCUGUCAGAAAUUGAUUCCCCGCCUAUGGAUGCCUCAAAGGACCCAUGCCAGCAGGACCGCGGGCUCGAUGGCACACCAAGCAGAGCGAGUAAUUGAACGCAGAGGUGAGAACGAAGGCUUAAUCCCCUAUUGCCCAUCAGUCUUCAGCGUGGUCUCACAUCUUUCUUGCAGAUCUGCAAACAUUCCAUUUGUAUGCCGGAACAGCCAAUGACAUCAUAGUGGCGUGACUGUGCUACACAACGGCAUAUGGCGGCAUACAACCGGACACAUUUAAUGCUUCAUUAUGCAAAAGGAAGAACGCCAGAUGUUGACAUCAUGCCCCAAAAAUCAUCGAUUUCUAUUUGAAGUAUUUAUUUUGUACUAGUAGAAAUUCCAUGACACGCCUUUACUACACAUGCAAAUGUGUAAGCAUCAGUUGGGUUUCACUUUCAAUUUUAUUUCUAAUAUAGGAGUCAGACCCUCGACUGCUUCUUCCACUUCCACACCAAAAGAGAGGAAUCGUGGCGCGCUGGGGCAAGAUUGAAACUCGUGUUUCUUGCCUCUGACAUCUUCUGCUACCACCUAGCAUUGUGUAUCUUUCAGUGAUACCAUGCAUGCAGGGAGCGCAUGAAGACACUGAUACUGAACGUUCCCCCACGGGGGGGGGCUUAUAUUGGAGAAGCACCGCCCGAGUAUGAGCACGCCCUCAAGCACGACUAUAUUGUGUAGUACUUUAUUGGUGAAGAGGAGGAUUCAAAAUUAAAUUCAAAAUAUUAUAGGGAGGGCUGCACGGUGGACAAGUGGUUAGCAUGCAGACUAGGAGACAAGGGUUCAAUUCCACCCUUGGUCAUCUUUGUGUGGAGUUUGCAUGUACUCCGGUUUCCUCCCACGUUCCAAAAACAUGCUAGGUUAAUUAGCGACUCCAAAUUGUCCAUAGGUAUGAAUGUGAGUGUGAAUGGUUGUUUGUCUAUAUGUGCCCUGUGAUUGGCUGGCGACCGGUCCAGGGUGUACCCUGCCUCUCGCAGCCCGAAGACAGCUGGGAUAGGCUCCAGCACCCCCGUGACCCUUGUGAGGAUAAGCGGUAGAAAAUGAAUGAAUGAAUUAAUGAAUAUUGCCAA